rnacentral:lncRNA from 1 species
AUGAUGAUGAUAAGAUUUUGAAUGGGUCAAACUUUGACCAAGUGUUCCUCAUAUCCAAUUGAAUCGCUAAAUACUGAAUCUGUCAAUAAUAAUGAAAAAGUCAAAUAAGAUGAUGAUAAGAUUUUGAAUGGGUCAAAGUUUGACCAAGUGUUUUUCAUAUCCAUUUGAAUCGGUCUAAUACGAUGUACACGUUAUAAAUCUUUAUACCUUAAAAAGCAUUUACCAGAUUUUGCUGAAUUUUAAUAGGUACAAGCUUUUAAGCAUCAUAUACAAUAACUUUAUAUACGAUGUACACGUUAUAAAUCUUUAUACCUUAAAAAGCAUUUACCAGAUUUUGCUGAAUUUUAAUAGGUACAAGCUUUUAAGCAUCAUAUACAAUAACUUUAUACAUCAGAGAAUAAUAAAU